GAAAGUCGUGUGCAAUGAAAAGUGCAAGCACGGCUUGGGGAGGGAUCUUUACUUGUUUAGGAGAAAGUUGACUUUGAGAAAGAAAAGGGGCGCCCUAGCUGCUCGCCGGAGAAAGCCAGGUGCCUUAGGUAAGCUCUAUUUGGCCCGACGAAUUUCUUCGCUUCGAUUCCGC
rnacentral:ncRNA from 1 species